rnacentral:rRNA from 1 species
UACGGGAGGCAGCAGUGGGGAAUAUUGGACAAUGGGGGAAACCCUGAUCCAGCAAUGCCGCGUGAGUGAUGAAGGCCUUAGGGUUGUAAAACUCUUUCAGAAGUGAAGAUGAUGACGGUAACUUCAGAAGAAGCUCCGGCUAACUCCGUGCCAGCAGCCGCGGUAAUACGGAGGGAGCUAGCGUUGUUCGGAAUUACUGGGCGUAAAGGGCGUGUAGGCUGUUAGGUAAGUCAGAGGUGAAAUCCCUAAGCUCAACUUAGGAACUGCCUUUGAUACUAUCUUACUAGAGAUCGAGAGAAGUUGGCGGAAUUCCAAGUGUAGAGGUGAAAUUCGUAGAUAUUUGGAAGAACACCAGUGGCGAAAGCGGCCAACUGGCUCGUAUCUGACGCUGAGACGCGAAAGCGUGGGUAGCAAACAGGAUUAGAUACCCUGGUAGUCCACGCCGUAAACGAUGAGUGCUAGCCGUUUGUGAUUAAUCACAAGUGGUGCAGCUAACGCGUUAAGCACUCCGCCUGGGGAGUACGAUCGCAAGAUUAAAACUCAAAUGAAUGACGG